UGGGGAAUAUUGCACAAUGGGGGAAACCCUGAUGCAGCGACGCCGCGUGGAGGAAGAAGGUCUUCGGAUUGUAAACUCCUGUUGUUGAGGAAGAUAAUGAC
rnacentral:rRNA from 1 species